UACGUAGGUGGCGAGCGUUGUCCGGAUUUACUGGGCGUAAAGAGCGCGCAGGCGGUCGUUCAAGUCGAGUGUGAAAGCCCCCGGCUCAACUGGGGAGGGUCACUCGAUACUGAUCGACUCGAAGGCAGGAGAGGGAAGUGGAAUUCCCGGUGUAGUGGUGAAAUGCGUAGAUAUCGGGAGGAACACCAGUGGCGAAGGCGACUACCUGGCCUGUUCUUGACGCUGAGGCGCGAAAGCGUGGGGAGCAAACAGG
rnacentral:rRNA from 1 species